rnacentral:rRNA from 1 species
AUUGAACGCUGGCGGCAGGCCUAACACAUGCAAGUCGAACGAGCCGCAGACGGGUGAGAAAUGCGUGGGACUUGCCCAGUCGGGGGGGAAAUCAGUUGAAAACGACUGCUCAUCCCGAAAACUAUUGGGUUCCCCAGGUGGGUUUAGCGAGUUGGUGGGGUAAUGGCUCACCAAGGCGACGAUCCCUAGCUGGUCGGAGAGGAUGACCAGCCACACUGGAACUGAGACACGGUCCAGACUCCUACGGGAGGCAGCAGUGGGGAAUAUUGCACAAUGGGGGAAACCCUGAUGCAGCCAUGCCGCGUGUGUGAAGAAGGCCUUCGGGUUGUAAAGCACUUUCAGCGAGGAGGCGUUACUCGCAGAAGAAGCACCGGCUAACUCCGUGCCAGCAGCCGCGGUAAUUC